rnacentral:tRNA from 1 species
GUGUAGUUCAGUGGUAGAGCACUUGCCUACCAUGAGCAAGGACCUGGGUUCCAUACCCAGAACUACACA